UUAGGAAUCUUGCGCAAUGGACGAAAGUCUGAUGCAGCGACGCCGCGUGCGGGAUGAAGGCCCUCGGGUUGUAAACCGCUUUCAGCAGGGACGAAAUUGACGGUACCUGCAGAAGAAGCCCCGGCCAACUACGUGCCAGCAGCCGCGGUAAUACGUAGGGGGCAAGCGUUGUCCGGAUUUAUUGGGCGUAAAGAGCUCGUAGGUGGUUCGGUAAGUCGGAUGUGAAAUCUCCAGGCUCAACCUGGAGGGGUCAUUCGAUACUGCCGUGACUAGAGUUCGGUAGGGGAGUGUGGAAUUCCUGGUGGAGCGGUGAAAUGCGCAGAUAUCAGGAGGAACACCCGUAGCGAAGGCGGCACUCUGGGCCGAUACUGACACUGAGGAGCGAAAGCGUGGGGAGCGAACAGG
rnacentral:rRNA from 1 species